rnacentral:rRNA from 1 species
UUAAGUGGGAAACGAUGUGGGAAGGCCCAGACAGCCAGGAUGUUGGCUUAGAAGCAGCCAUCAUUUAAAGAAAGCGUAAUAGCUCACUGGUCGAGUCGGCCUGCGCGGAAGAUGUAACGGGGCUAAACUAUGCACCGAAGCUGCGGCAGCGACACUAUGUGUUGUUGGGUAGGGGAGCGUUCUGUAAGCCUGUGAAGGUGUGUCGUGAGGCAUGCUGGAGGUAUCAGAAGUGCGAAUGCUGACAUAAGUAACGAUAAAGCGGGUGAAAAGCCCGCUCGCCGGAAGACCAAGGGUUCCUGUCCAACGUUAAUCGGGGCAGGGUGAGUCGACCCCUAAGGCGAGGCCGAAAGGCGUAGUCGAUGGGAAACGGGUUAAUAUUCCCGUACUUGGUGUUACUGCGAAGGGGGGACGGAGAAGGCUAUGUUGGCCGGGCGACGGUUGUCCCGGUUUAAGCGUGUAGGUGUGUGUUCCAGGUAAAUCCGGUUCACUUUAACACUGAGGCGUGAUGACGAGGCACUACGGUGCUGAAGCAACAAAUGCCCUGCUUCCAGGAAAAGCCUCUAAGCAUCAGGUAACAUCAAAUCGUACCCCAAACCGACACAGGUGGUCAGGUAGAGAAUACCAAGGCGCUUGAGAGAACUCGGGUGAAGGAACUAGGCAAAAUGGUGCCGUAACUUCGGGAGAAGGCACGCUGACACGUAGGUGAAGUGAUUUACUCAUGGAGCUGAAGUCAGUCGAAGAUACCAGCUGGCUGCAACUGUUUAUUAAAAACACAGCACUGUGCAAACACGAAAGUGGACGUAUACGGUGUGACGCCUGCCCGGUGCCGGAAGGUUAAUUGAUGGGGUCAGCGCAAGCGAAGCUCCUGAUCGAAGCCCCGGUAAACGGCGGCCGUAACUAUAACGGUCCUAAGGUAGCGAAAUUCCUUGUCGGGUAAGUUCCGACCUGCACGAAUGGCGUAAUGAUGGCCAGGCUGUCUCCACCCGAGACUCAGUGAAAUUGAACUCGCUGUGAAGAUGCAGUGUACCCGCGGCAAGACGGAAAGACCCCGUGAACCUUUACUAUAGCUUGACACUGAACAUUGAGCCUUGAUGUGUAGGAUAGGUGGGAGGCUUUGAAGUGUGGACGCCAGUCUGCAUGGAGCCGACCUUGAAAUACCACCCUUUAAUGUUUGAUGUUCUAACGUGGACCCGUGAUCCGGGUUGCGGACAGUGUCUGGUGGGUAGUUUGACUGGGGCGGUCUCCUCCUAAAGAGUAACGGAGGAGCACGAAGGUUGGCUAAUCCUGGUCGGACAUCAGGAGGUUAGUGCAAUGGCAUAAGCCAGCUUGACUGCGAGCGUGACGGCGCGAGCAGGUGCGAAAGCAGGUCAUAGUGAUCCGGUGGUUCUGAAUGGAAGGGCCAUCGCUCAACGGAUAAAAGGUACUCCGGGGAUAACAGGCUGAUACCGCCCAAGAGUUCAUAUCGACGGCGGUGUUUGGCACCUCGAUGUCGGCUCAUCACAUCCUGGGGCUGAAGUAGGUCCCAAGGGUAUGGCUGUUCGCCAUUUAAAGUGGUACGCGAGCUGGGUUUAGAACGUCGUGAGACAGUUCGGUCCCUAUCUGCCGUGGGCGCUGGAGAACUGAGGGGGGCUGCUCCUAGUACGAGAGGACCGGAGUGGACGCAUCACUGGUGUUCGGGUUGUCAUGCCAAUGGCACUGCCCGGUAGCUAAAUGCGGAAGAGAUAAGUGCUGAAAGCAUCUAAGCACGAAACUUGCCCCGAG